rnacentral:rRNA from 1 species
AGCGAACGCUGGCGGCAGGCCUAACACAUGCAAGUCGAACGAACCUUUCGGGGUUAGUGGCGGACGGGUGAGUAACACGUGGGAACGUGCCUUUAGGUUCGGAAUAACUCAGGGAAACUUGUGCUAAUACCGAAUGUGCCCUUCGGGGGAAAGAUUAAUCGCCUUUAGAGCGGCCCGCGUCUGAUUAGCUAGUUGGUUGAGGUAAUGGCUCACCAAGGCGACGAUCAGUAGCUGGUCUGAGAGGAUGAUCAGCCACAUUGGGACUGAGACACGGCCCAAACUCCUACGGGAGGCAGCAGGGGGGAAUCUUGCGCAAUGGGCGAAAGCCUGACGCAGCCAUGCCGCGUGAAUGAUGAAGGUCUUAGGAUUGUAAAAUUCUUUCACCGGGGACGAUAAUGACGGUACCCGGAGAAGAAGCCCCGGCUAACUUCGUG